AUUGAACGCUGGCGGCAUGCUUUACACAUGCAAGUCGGACGGCAGCGGGGUAGUGCUUGCACUACUGCCGGCGAGUGGCGAACGGGUGAGUAAUAUAUUGGAACGUACCGAGUAAUGGGGGAUAACCAAUCGAAAGAUUGGCUAAUACCGCAUACGCUCUGAGGAGGAAAGCAGGGGACCUUCGGGCCUUGCGUUAUUCGAGCGGCCAAUAUCUGAUUAGCUAGUUGGUGGGGUAAGGGCCUACCAAGGCGACGAUCAGUAGCGGGUCUGAGAGGAUGAUCCUCCACACUGGGACUGAGACACGGCCCAGACUCCUACGGGAGGCAGCAGUGGGGAAUUUUGGACAAUGGGCGCAAGCCUGAUCCAGCCAUGCCGCGUGUCUGAAGAAGGCCUUCGGGUUGUAAAGGACUUUUGUUAGGGAAGAAAAAGGAGCGGUUAAUACCCGUUUCUGCUGACGGUACCUAAAGAAUAAGCACCGGCUAACUACGUG
rnacentral:rRNA from 1 species